rnacentral:rRNA from 1 species
AUUGAACGCUGGCGGCAGGCCUAACACAUGCAAGUCGAACGGUAACAGGAAGAAGCUUGCUUCUUUGCUGACGAGUGGCGGACGGGUGAGUAAUGUCUGGGAAACUGCCUGAUGGAGGGGGAUAACUACUGGAAACGGUAGCUAAUACCGCAUAACGUCGCAAGACCAAAAAGGGGGACCUUCGGGCCUCUUGCCCUCGGAUGUGCCCCGAUGGGAUUAGCUAGUAGGUGGGGUAACGGCUCACCUAGGCGACGAUCCCUAGCUGGUCUGCGAGGAUGACCAGCCACACUGGAACUGAGACACGGUCCAGACUCCUACGGGAGGCAGCAGUGGGGAAUAUUGCACAAUGGGCGCAAGCCUGAUGCAGCCAUGCCGCGUGUAUGAAGAAGGCCUUCGGGUUGUAAAGUACUUUCAGCGGGGAGGAAGGGAGUAAAGUUAAUACCUUGGCUCAUUGACGUUACCCGCAGAAGAAGCACCGGCUAACUCCGUG